GCAGUAGUGAUUCAGCGGUAGGACUCCUGUUUGCCACGCAGGAGACUUGGGUUCCAUUCCCAGACGAUGCA
rnacentral:tRNA from 1 species